GCGGCCGAUUAGGUAGUUGGUUAGGUAAUGGCUUACCAAGCCGUUGAUCGGUACGGGUUGUGAGAGCAAGAGCCCGGAGAUGGAACCUGAGACAAGGUUCCAGGCCCUACGGGGUGCAGCAGGCGCGAAACCUCCGCAAUGUGAGAAAUCGCGACGGGGGGAUCCCAAGUGCCAUUCUUAACGGGAUGGCUUUUCAUUAGUGUAAAGAGCUUUUGGAAUAAGAGCUGGGCAAGACCGGUGCCAGCCGCCGCGGUAACACCGGCAGCUCUAGUGGUAACAAUUUUUAUUGGGCCUAAAGCGUCCGUAGCCGGUUUAAUAAGUCUCUGGUGAAAUCCUGCAGCUUAACUGUGGGAAUUGCUGGAGAUACUAUUAGACUUGAGACCGGGAGAGGUUAGAGGUACUCCCAGGGUAGAGGUGAAAUUCUGUAAUCCUGGGAGGACCGCCUGUUGCGAAGGCGUCUAACUGGAACGGUUCUGACGGUGAGGGACGAAAGUUAGGGGCGCGAACCGGAUUAGAUACCCGGGUAGUCCUAACUGUAAACGAUGCGGACUUGGUGUUGGGGUGGCUUUGAGCUGCUUCAGUGCCGAAAGGGAAGCUGUUAAGUCCGCCGCCUGGGAAG
rnacentral:rRNA from 1 species